UACGGAGGGUGCAAGCGUUGCUCGGAAUCAUUGGGCGUAAAGCGUACGCAGGCUGUUCGUUAAGUCGGGUGUGAAAGCCCGGGGCUCAACCCCGGAAAUGCGCCCGAAACUGGCGAGCUUGAGUGCGGGAGAGGGAAGCGGAAUUCCUGGUGUAGAGGUGAAAUUCGUAGAUAUCAGGAGGAACACCGGUGGCGAAAGCGGCUCCUGGCCCGACACUGACGCUCAUGUACGAAAGCGUGGGGAGCAAACAGG
rnacentral:rRNA from 1 species